rnacentral:rRNA from 1 species
AUGAUACGCCAAUACUGGUGGGGGGUGGAGAACGACAAAAGGAAAAUGGCCUGGUUGAGCUGGGAUAAACUACGGUUACCUAAAACCAUGGGAGGCAUGGGUUUUAGGGACAUGGGGGCUUUUAACCAGGCUUUGCUCGCCAAACAGGCCUGGAGGCUCAUCGACAAUCCAGAUAGCUUGCGUGCGCGCCUGUUGAAAGCUAAAUACUACCACUCGGGUCAGCUUCUCAAUACAGUCUUUCCGAGCUCUGGUUCGGAGGUGUGGAAAGGAGUUAUGCAUGGCUUGAGCUUAUCAAGAGGGGUGUCAUCUGGCGUGUUGGUAAUGGUACAAUGA